rnacentral:lncRNA from 1 species
UAUUGACAACUCCGAUUGUUAUCACAUUUCAAAGCUCCAUUAUUGACACUUUAGCAUCAUUUGGUAGUGGAUAAUUGAUGAAACCAAAGUAUUAACCUCUAUGCUAAGUGUGUGUACAUUAGAUGAGGUUGGUACAUUCCAAGAUUCCAAGUAGUGGAGCAAGAGAUGAUCAUGAUGAUGAUGGUGAUGACCACAAGAUCACCAAGUGCUCAACUUGAGAAAAAGAAAGAGAAAAACAAAACCCU